UACGUAGGGGGCAAGCGUUGUCCGGAAUCAUUGGGCGUAAAGCGCGCGUAGGCGGCCCGUUAAGUCCGUUGUGAAAGUCAAAGGCUCAACCUUUGAACGCCGAUGGAUACUGCCGGGCUAGAGUCCGGAAGAGGCGAGUGGAAUUCCUGGUGUAGCGGUGGAAUGCGCAGAUAUCAGGAGGAACACCAAUAGCGAAGGCAGCUCGCUGGGACGGUACUGACGCUGAGGCGCGAAAGCGUGGGGAGCGAACAGG
rnacentral:rRNA from 1 species